GUCGAACGCUGGCGGCGUGCCUAAUACAUGCAAGUAGGACGCAGUUGCGAACGGGUGAGUUACGCGUAGGUAUCUACCUAUCAGCGGGGGAUAACUACUGGAAACGAUAGCUAAUACCGCAUACUAGUAGAUGGACCUGCGUUGUAUUAGCUAGUAGGUAGGGUAAUGGCCUACCUAGGCAACGAUACAUAGCCGACCUGAGGAGGUGGUCGAGCAAAAUGGGACUGAGAAACGGCCCAGACGCCUAUGGGAGGCAACAGUAGGGAAGCUUCGGCAAUGGGGGGAACCAUGACCGAGGAAAGCCGCGUGGGUGAAAAAGGUUUUCGGAUCGUAAAGCUCUGUUGUUAAGGAAGCGGUACUUAACCAGAAAGGGACGGCUAACUACGUGCCAGCAGCCGCGGUAAGAC
rnacentral:rRNA from 1 species